AAAAAGAGAAAGGAAAAAGACGUGAAAAGAAUAUGGGAAUCGUGAGAGGAGUUUUGGGACUUCCUAUUUCAAAAAUAAAAAUAAAAAAAGAUUAAAUUUAACAAAACCCAUUAGAUUUCCCAAAGUUGGAAAAAAAUAAAAAUAAAAAUAGCAUCCUCUAAGAACAUUUAAGGAUUCAAACUCGAGACCUAAGAGCAAACUAACAAACGGCUUACCACCAAACCAGUAGAUUGAUUCUGUUCCUAAAAC
rnacentral:lncRNA from 1 species